UAAAAUAAAUUUCAAAUCUUUUAUUAGAGAUGGUGUCAGGAUUAAUAUUUGUGAAGGAGAAAAAAAUACGUUAGGUGUAGAUAAGAAAUUAUUAUAAUAGAAUGAGAAUCUGUAUACUCUUUAUGUAAUUUUAUGGAUGUAGCAAAAGUAGGUUAAUACUAAAAUUAUAAAUGCAUUGAGUUUUAAUAUGUAAUGAGCUGUAAAGUAAUAUAUAAUAAUUAGUAUUAAAGGGGAAGAAGAUGGAUAUUUAUAGAGAGGUCACGUGAGUAGAGUAAUGUAAUCCAGGGUAGUUACGCGAAGAGAGCACGUGAACACUGAAAUAGAGAAAGCAAAUGUAAAUAAAAGCAACGGCAAGGGCAUAGUUGGAGUGGAAAAGAAAACCAUCUACGAAGUCGGUGGUUGUAUACGUGGCAACAUCUGGUUGUGCAACGGGGAGUAUAAAAUUACGAGGGUGAGAGAAAGAGAGAGUAAGAGGAGAAACUAGAAAGAGAAAGAGAGAGAGAGACAUGGAGAUAUGGAGAUAGAGAGAGAGAGGUUGGGGGUUGAUAUUUGAUUCAGUUACCAGCGGUCUCUAAUUCGCUUGGUGCAGGUCGGGAACCGGUUCGCAAUGGGAUUGGAUUUUUUUUUUUUGGAGCGAAAUGGAUCCCGCCUUGCAUCAACUGAAUCGGAGACCGCGGUGAGGAGGGUUUCCUAUGCUUCAAUCUUCGUAUCCAGAUUCAUAUGCAUUUUUCUUCUUUCUUAUGAGUUCAGAUCUCAUCUCAGGUUCUAUUGAUUUAAACUUUUUUCAUUCUUUCUUUGUUUUGAAUUUUUUGUUUUUCGAUUUGCAAGAUCUACCUACUUCUUGAUUACGUUUUCGAUUCAAUUAGACACUGCGAUUUCUGUUUUCUUGCAUUUAUGUGUGGGCGCGGUUGUCGGAGUUUGGUUUUUGAUGUUAUUAUACUGAUAAGCUGCCUUUAAUUUCAUUUGGAAAUGGAUUUAUGAUUUUGUUUGCUCUUUUUGAUAAUUUAAGAGCUGACUGACUGAGCAUCUUAUUCUUUGUAAAUCGAAUCUAUUGACUUCUCACUCGUACUUUAGCAAACCAAAUGUGAAACAGAAAAUAAGUAUAUACCAAUAAUAAUAAUAAUAAUAUAAUUUAGUAGUUUUAUUAGCUAAAUCAGGCCAUCUAUUAUUUGGCAACAUUUUUUCAUUUCGGUUCUUCUUAUGGUAUGAGUUGUUAACAUUAGUUAAUUCUUUUUGGGGUCCUCCGCCUAUUUUCCCCAUAAACUCACACAGCUCAUAUGCCAUUAUUAAACAUUGCUGCUUUUUUUUUAGGCUGUAACAGUCGAAAACAGAUUCAAAUAAGUGAUUACACACUUGCAGCCUCAUUCCCACUUUGGGGAAAUUCUUUUCUUAAGCAAUGAAACAAAGAAUAAUUAAUACGAAUAGCAUUAGAAUAGUAGCCCUGAUUUUAUUAAUUUAUGUUUGUAUUUCCUUUUACUUUUCUUAGUUUCUUUUUUAUUUUUAUUUUGCUUCUCAUUGUUAUUAAUGUUUUCAUGUAAAAAAUAGAAACCUUGUCAGACAUUUAGUUUAAGCAGUAGGCAGUCGGCUUUUAAUACAUAUAGCAUAUUUAUAUAGCCAUGUGUGUAGAAAAUCCGAGUUACUAGCUCAAAUGGUUUUUUUUUUUUUAGUUCAAAAUUUUUGUGUGCAGGAGAGGACUGUAUUUGUGCUUUUUUUUUUAUGCUUUAAUUUUAGUUUUAUGGGGGUAUACUACAUUCAAGGUUGUCCAAUUAUUAUGUUAUGUGGAAUUGAAAAGUACAGGUGGUCCAAGUUUUCUAUUUCGUGCUGGACAAUGCAGCAAUGAAGCCUCAUUGUCUUGGUAAUUAGUAUCGGUACCAGGGAAUGGUGAAGACUUAACUUAUGGUUCCCUAUAAUACUUCAGCUCUGAGAAAAUACCCAACUUGUGCCAAAACCAAUGCAUUAUAUUAAUAUACCAAACCGAAAGAUGGAGUGAGAAGGAGUUGACAAUUGACAAAGUUGGAAUUUCAACUCAAACAAAUGAUCUUUCCUUCCAAUAUACUAAGCCACCUUGUUCCAUGAACAAAAAAAUCUAUAAAUGGGAGGCAAACUUUACAUAUGUUUGAAAAAAACGAAGAGCAUUUCCUCUGCACAUGUGUACUGUUUUAAUUCCUAGUUUAAAACAUAUAUAUAUUUAUAUAUUUAUAUAUAGAGAAAUGCUAAAGGGUACUAGUGGUGUCUAGCAUCUUCUUAUGUGUCAGUAUUGCUAUUGGUCUAACUAAGUAUCGGGUUCCACAUAGUUUAACAUAUUAGUUUUUAGGAAGUAUCGUUAGCCAAUCGCAACGUGACAUGUCGAGAAGGUACUAGACACCACUGGUGUCUAAUAGCAAUGCUCUUAUAUAUAUAUAUGAAAAGAAGAGAAUAUGUUAGCAUUUCUUUAUAGUAUAUGUGAAUGUAAGAUCCUCAUAUUCGAGGCAGAUGCUAUUAUCUAUGCUUAACUUGCUUAGAACAUGGUAAUAUUGAACUUGAAACCGAAUAAACAUAUUUUAUUAUCGUAUAAACAUAUUUCAAAUACUCGAGAAGGGUAAUUUGUUAUUGUAGAUGUAGAGCAUUGAGAAGCGAUCCGUCAUAGGACAAUAAUCAUAGAGUUAUUUAUAUGUUAAAUUUUGCAUGUUGUACUUGAUAUUAAAUUUAGUGUAAGCCUUGUGUUGAAGAAUUUUGUGAUGUGUGAAGUGUUAUAGAAUACGUAUAACGAUGCUUCGGAGGUGAUCCUAAUUCCUAUAUGUUCUUUUUUUAGAAUGAUUUUUGUUUUAGGUACAAUCCUAUCUUACUAUAAUAAUGAUAAUAACAACAACAACAUUAAAGUAUUGUUACCCGCAUUUUGACAUUAUAUAUAUUGGAAAUGUUUAUGGUAGAGUUUUUGGUUUUAUCUCUAUAAUAGGAAUAUUUUUUUAACUCUUGAUUGUUGAUCUAAUGGUAAUAAAGUUGAGGAAAUAUGAUAGUAAUAGUAGAACCUAGUUAGUAAUAUUUUUACACAUUUUUUAUCUUUACACUAAUGUCUUUUUUUUUUUUUUUUUUUAAAAAAAAAAAAAUAAAUUUAAUGGUUAGAUAUUUUUUAGUACACUUAAUUAGUAAUUUUUUAUUUUUUUCAUAUUCUUCUAAAGAUAUUUUUUUUAGUAUGUUGCGUUUAAAAAUAUUUAUUUUAAUAAGCUUGCUGAGGAUUAAUUGUUUUUUAAAAUUUAUUUUCUAAAGAUUAUAUUUUAUGUCUUUCUUAGAUUUAUUUUCUUUAUAAAAUUAGUUUUUGAGUACUACAAUUUUCUGGGUCAUAAAAAAAAUUUAAUAAGUACAGUAAUUCAUAAUAAAAUAUAAAUUAAUAUGUAUACAUCAAUGUGUAUUUAAAUAAGCAUAUAAUCAACUAAUUCAUAUUAAAAUAAAUGAGUAAUUUGUGGUAUAAAUAUCUAAACUUAAUUUUCGAUUGCAGAUAAAUAUUUAAGUUUAAUUUUUGACAGUAAUAAUACCUAAACUAAAAUUUUGGAACUUCCCUAGGUACUUGGUCAUUAAGUGUUAAGUUAAUGGCCACAUGGUAGACCCUAAUUUGUCUAGAUCAUUAAAUUUUAUUUUUUAUUUAAAAUUAAUUUAAAUAUACCAAUAAAAAAUAACACGUGAAUAAUAAGUUGGCAUUUAAUGGCCAAGUAACUAGGAAAGUUCUAGAAAUAUAACUUAUGUAAUACCGUAAAAAGAAUAAAACUUAGGUAUUUAUCUGCAAUAAAGAAUUAAACUUAAGUAUUUAUGUCGCAAAUUACUCAAAAAUAAAUUAAUAAACAUUUUUUAAUUCAUAUUAAAAUAAAUUAAUAUUUUACACAAGAUUGUGUAAUUGGUUUGAAUUUAUUGAACCAAAACCUUACUUCUGUUUUAUUGAAAUGUUGUAGUGCCAAUUAGUGCAUUGUAAACAAUGUUAUAUUACAUGUGAUAUUUGGAUUGGGAUUGAAUUUUCUUGUGCUCGUCAUGCUUUACAGUUGGAGUGGCAAUUAGUGUUCGUGUGUUGUGUUCGUGUUGUGCUGAGGUCUUAAAUUUACUAAAAAGUUGCUGACACGAACACGACACGUGACACGAAGAAAUUAAAAAGCAGACACGAACACGACUCGAAUAAGUUCGUGUCGUGUCAAACCCACAAAAUCGCAUAUCGUGUUGGCGGGUUGUAAACUAAAUUGUUGAUUUUAAUGUCAUCAUGCUAUGUUCGUGUUAUGUAGAAUUUUCAAAUUUAUUUUAGAUGGCAGACACGAACACGACCGGUAACAUAAAAAAUCGAUAAAACACAAAUGCAAGUAGCAAAAUUUUUGUGUCAUCAUGUCAAACUAAUAAAAUCUCGAGUCGUGUUCAUGUCGAAUUUGCGUAUCGUGACCUAAAUUGUUGUUGGGAUUUAUGCCCUAAAUAAAGCUUCAUUUCAAUGUAAUCCAGAUUAUUCAAUAUCAACAAAGAAGCAGAAGUAUUUUUCAUUCAA